UACAGAGGGUGCAAGCGUUAAUCGGAAUUACUGGGCGUAAAGCGUGCGUAGACGGUUUCGUAAGUCGGGUGUGAAAUCCCCGGGCUCAACCUGGGAAUUGCAUUCGAAACUGCGAGGCUAGGGUACGGAAGAGGGAAGCGGAAUUUCUGGUGUAGCGGUGAAAUGCGUAGAUAUCAGAAGGAACAUCAGUGGCGAAAGCGGCUUCCUGGUCCAGUACCGACGUUCAGGCACGAAAGCGUGGGGAGCAAACAGG
rnacentral:rRNA from 1 species